CUUUGCGUAUUCAUAUACAAGUCAUUUAACAUAGAAACAUUGCAGAAAUGUUUCAAUUUACAAGAUUGCAACAUUGUAUAACUAUUGAUUCAAUUUUGGGCUUUUUGUUUUAUCUGUUGUUUAACUACGACAAAUCAAAAUCUGCUACGUUCAUCAAGUGGAGUAAAUAUAUUAAAUAAAAAUUUUAUAAGAAGAACUACGAGUCAUUAAAUUGCUGAUUUGGAUAAAAAAGCAAUAAACGAAAGAAAU